AUGUCUCCGCCGUGUGUUGUGUCAAGAGCAUCCAGGAGUUGCACAACGUCCAACAUGUCGGGCCGCUUCUCAGGGUCAGCCUGCCAGCACUUCUUCAUGAUGUUCGCCAACGGGGCCGGGCAGCAGCGUGGGAUCUUUGGCCGCAGAUUCUGCUUCUCCAAAGCUCUUGUUUGGGUAGUACGGCAUGUCACAGCAAUAGAUCGCCCACAAGCAUAUCCCAAAGCUGUAAACAUCACACUUUCUGUUGUAUGGCUUGCCAAUAAUAACCUGUAA
rnacentral:rRNA from 1 species